rnacentral:rRNA from 1 species
GGAUUAGAUACCCUGGUAGUCCAUGCCGUAAACGGUGGGCGCUAGGUGUAGGGGACUUCCACGUCUUCUGUGCCGCAGCUAACGCAUUAAGCGCCCCGCCUGGGGAGUACGGCCGCAAGGCUAAAACUCAAAGGAAUUGACGGGGGCCCGCACAAGCGGCGGAGCAUGUGGAUUAAUUCGAUGCAACGCGAAGAACCUUACCUGGGCUUGACAUACACCAGAUCGCUGCAGAGAUGUAGCUUCCCUUGUGGCUGGUGUACAGGUGGUGCAUGGUUGUCGUCAGCUCGUGCCG